rnacentral:sRNA from 1 species
UCACUAUCUUUGUGGGUACUUGUGUCAUC